UAGGGAAUCUUCCACAAUGGGCGCAAGCCUGAUGGAGCAACACCGCGUGAGUGAAGAAGGGUUUCGGCUCGUAAAGCUCUGUUGUUGGAGAAGAACGUGCGUGAGAGUAACUGUUCACGCAGUGACGGUAUCCAACCAGAAAGUCACGGCUAACUACGUGCCAGCAGCCGCGGUAAUACGUAGGUGGCAAGCGUUAUCCGGAUUUAUUGGGCGUAAAGCGAGCGCAGGCGGUUGCUUAGGUCUGAUGUGAGAGCCUUCGGCUUAACCGAAGAAGGGCAUCGGAAACCGGGCGACUUGAGUGCAGAAGAGGACAGUGGAACUCCAUGUGUAGCGGUGGAAUGCGUAGAUAUAUGGAAGAACACCAGUGGCGAAGGCGGCUGUCUGGUCUGCAACUGACGCUGAGGCUCGAAAGCAUGGGUAGCGAACAGGAUUAGAUACCCUGGUAGUCCAUGCCGUAACGAUGAGUGCUAGGUGUUGGAGGGUUUCCGCCCUUCAGUGCCGGAGCUAACGCAUUAAGCACUCCGCCUGGGGAGUACGACCGCAAGGUU
rnacentral:rRNA from 1 species